rnacentral:rRNA from 1 species
UACAGAGGGGGCAAGCGUUGUUCGGAAUUACUGGGCGUAAAGGGCGCGUAGGCGGCCGCCUAAGUCAGACGUGAAAUCCCUCGGCUCAACCGGGGAACUGCGUCUGAUACUGGGUGGCUUGAAUCCGGGAGAGGGAAGCGGAAUUCCAGGUGUAGCGGUGAAAUGCGUAGAUAUCUGGAGGAACACCGGUGGCGAAGGCGGCAUCCUGGACCGGCAUUGACGCUGAGGCGCGAAAGCCAGGGGAGCAAACGGG